rnacentral:rRNA from 1 species
UACGGAGGGUGCAAGCGUUAUCCGGAUUCACUGGGUUUAAAGGGUGCGUAGGAGGGCAGGUAAGUCAGUGGUGAAAUCUCCGAGCUUAACUUGGAAACUGCCGUUGAUACUAUCUGUCUUGAAUAUUGUGGAGGUGAGCGGAAUAUGUCAUGUAGCGGUGAAAUGCUUAGAUAUGACAUAGAACACCAAUUGCGAAGGCAGCUCACUACACAAUCAUUGACGCUGAGGCACGAAAGCGUGGGGAUCAAACAGG